UGAACAUUUCUUUGUUUGUGGUUUUCGGCUUGUUGUGCAAUCUUAACUUUGAAACAAAGAAAUGUUCAAGGAUGUGGGCACUUCC
rnacentral:ribozyme from 1 species